UAAGACGGAGGGUGCUAGCGUUGUUCGGAAUGACUGGGCGUAAAGGGCGCGUAGGCGGUCCUAUUAGUCAGGCGUGAAAGCCCUGGGCUCAACCCAGGAAUUGCGUUUGAUACUGUAAGACUAGAGUGCGAGAGAGGAAAGUGGAAUUCCUAGUGUAGAAGUGAAAUUCGUAGAUAUUAGGAGGAACACCAGAGGCGAAGGCGGCUUUCUGGCUCGCAACUGACGCUGAGGCGCGAAAGCGUGGGGAGCAAACAGGAUUAGAUACCCUGGUAGUCCACGCUGUAAACGAUGAGUGCUAGACGUUAGGGAGUUUCUCCUUAGUGUCGCAGCUAACGCAUUAAGCACUCCGCCUGGGGAGUACGGUCGCAAGAUUA
rnacentral:rRNA from 1 species